rnacentral:rRNA from 1 species
UACGGGGGGGGCAAGCGUUGUUCGGAAUUACUGGGCGUAAAGGGCUCGUAGGCGGUCAACUAAGUCGGACGUGAAAUCCCCGGGCUCAACCCGGGAACUGCGUCCGAUACUGGGGGGCUUGAAUCCGGGAGAGGGAUGUGGAAUUCCAGGUGUAGCGGUGAAAUGCGUAGAUAUCUGGAGGAACACCGGUGGCGAAGGCGGCAUCCUGGGCCGGUAUUGACGCUGAGGCGCGAAAGCCAGGGGAGCAAACAGG